CACGGAUGUCCCUGAGCUGCCCAGUGCAGGGAACAGGGCCAGGGGAACCAGACACCGUCAUGACCCAGAAGGGCUGCACUUCUCCGGGGUUUGCAGAAUGUGGCAGAGGUGGAAAAACUCAAAAGUCCUUAAACACAGGCAGGGAGAUGCUGAUAUACAAGAGUGAGGUCAGGCGGACUUUGGAAGGGGUCGAGAAGGUGGCCAGGAACAUAGUGUCCUCCCUUGGCUGUCACUGGUCCGCAGGCCGUGGACGCACUCUUUGAGGACAGCUUUGAAAGUAAGG
rnacentral:lncRNA from 1 species